rnacentral:lncRNA from 1 species
CUUGGUCUCCCAGCAGCUGCCCCUUGAGGGGAGCGAAGCAAGGUUACAAAGUGCCGGGAGCCGUGCAGGGCCAGUGAACCCCUCGCUGAGACUCAGUUUGCUGCCAUCACAAGUGCUCUGAGAAUCCUGGAGAGGGAGGAUAUUGGAGACAAACGGGACUGCUGCCCGCCUUUUAGGCGACCGUUGGAGGCUGCUCUGUGCCGGACACAGGCAGGCUCCCACAGCUCAGAAGUCAGCGGAGCAGAGUCCCCAGGAAACCAGGGUCAGGGAUGGAGGCUGCUGAGGAGCGGGUCUGGGAGGUGGAGGCCAGAUACAAGAAAACCACAGUACCAGUAAAUGACAAAGGCUGGAUCUUAACCCAAGUCCUCCGACUCUGAAGGCCAUACCCAACAGGUCCCAUUUUAUUUGUUUUACUUUUUUUUAAUUGAAGAAAAAAAAACUAGCAUUCCCCUACAGUGCCCCCCACCUGGUGGGGACAUCUUGGGUUGGCAAGGCCACCACUUUCAAGAGUAGAAGUGUUUUUCAGCAGGAGGAGUUGGCUGCACCAAAGGAGCUCAGGAGAAGCUGGAGUCUCAGGCCCAGCAGGAACAGCCAGAGGUUUUGCAGCUUUGCCCAGCGGCUGGGUUCGCCGAAGGGUCUCCCUGGGGGUUCCCAGCAUGAGCCGAAGCCACCCUCCCCUGUGGGAUCUGUGAGGCCAGGCAUUGGGCCUCUUUAGGCCUCAGUUUCCUCCCCUGUCAUAGGCAACUGACAGUCCCUCUGGAGCGCCACUGGGGCUGCAGAGGGAGGCCGGAGAGAUGGUGCCCCCCCUCCUCCCCGCCACCCCCACACACAGCCCUCAGCAGGAUGGUGGCUGCCUGGCCGAUUGCUUUUGCAUUUGCAGCAGAGCGGGGGAGUGAGGCCAAGCUGAGUGCCCCCUCCCCCUGCCCAGCCAGCUCAGACCCAGGCGGUGGAGCAGGAAGGCUCUGGGGAAAACAGUGUGAGUCACCGGGCGGCCAGAGUGUGUCCUUCCCUGCUAGCGCACUACACGGCAGGUUUCAUAGGUAAUGAUGUCAUUUAUGAGGCUCCCGCUUGGGGCUGUGUCUGAGUCAGCCUGGCUGUGUCGUGACCAAGCGGAGGCUGGCAGCAGCGAGGCGUGGGCACGGGCUCUGCCGCCGGGCUCUGGCCUCUGCCCCCUCGUGGGGCCCAGGCUGCCAGCCCCAGGCCUGGAACGGGCAGGCAGUGGGGCUGGGGGAGCCGUUUGAGACCUCGGAUUGAUGAAGAAGCAUGCAUUUUCGUGACCCUGGCUCCUGCCUUGGAACGGGGGGCUCGCAUGCAGUGGAGGGGGACCCAGGAGUGAGCCCCGACUUCAGGAGGUUGCUCCCUGCAAAGUGCUUGUUGGGCGAAGGCCAGUGACAUUCUGUGCGAAUCCCUGCUGAAGGCAGAUGGCCUCCGUUGUUAAACCUCCCGCUUAACAAACAUCAUCUCCGAACAUACAGACACACAAACAUAUUUACAUUUUUAUAAUGUGUAUUUAUUAUUCAAAUAGCUUGACAGCAAAGUGUUUGAAAACGAAGAGCAGGAAUUCCGCGGUUCCUGCCCGGCCUCGCCAUCCAGCUGGGAGAAGAGCAUGGUCAUUUC